AUAUCAAUAAGCGGAGGAAAAGAAACCAACAGGGAUUGCCUCAGUAACGGCGAGUGAAGCGGCAACAGCUCAAAUUUGAAAUCUGGCCCCCGGGUCCGAGUUGUAAUUUGCAGAGGAUGCUUUUGGUGAGGUGCCUUCCGAGUUCCCUGGAACGGGACGCCAUAGAGGGUGAGAGCCCCGUCUGGUCGGACACCGAGCCUCUGUAAAGCUCCUUCGACGAGUCGAGUAGUUUGGGAAUGCUGCUCUAAAUGGGAGGUAUGUGUCUUCUAAAGCUAAAUACCGGCCAGAGACCGAUAGCGCACAAGUAGAGUGAUCGAAAGAUGAAAAGCACUUUGAAAAGAGAGUUAAAAAGCACGUGAAAUUGUUGAAAGGGAAGCGUUUAUGACCAGACUUGGGCCUGGUUGAUCAUCCGGCGUUCUCGCCGGUGCACUCUUCCGGCCCAGGCCAGCAUCAGUUCGUCCUGGGGGAUAAAGGCUCUGGGAAUGUGGCUCCCUCGGGAGUGUUAUAGCCCACUGCGCAAUACCCUGCGGCGGACUGAGGUACGCGUUCCGCAUGGAUGCUGGCGUAAUGGUCAUCAAUGACCCGUCUUGAAACACGGACCAAGGAGUCGUCUUCGUAUGCGAGUGUUCGGGUGUCAAACCCCUACGCGUAAUGAAAGUGAACGCAGGUGAGAGCUUCGGCGCAUCACCGACCGAUCCUGAUGUUCUCGGAUGGAUUUGAGUAAGAGCAUACGGGGCCGGACCCGAAAGAAGGUGAACUAUGCCUGUAUAGGGUGAAGCCAGAGGAAACUCUGGUGGAGGCUCGCAGCGGUUCUGACGUGCAAAUCGAUCGUCAAAUAUGGGCAUGGGGGCGAAAGACUAAUCGAACCUUCUAGUAGCUGGUUUCCGC
rnacentral:rRNA from 1 species